GAUGAAGAACGCAGCGAAAUGCGAUAAGUAAUGUGAAUUGCAGAAUUCAGUGAAUCAUCGAAUCUUUGAACGCACAUUGCGCCCGCCAGUAUUCUGGCGGGCAUGCCUGUUCGAGCGUCAUUUCAACCAUCAAGCCCUGCUUGCGUUGGGGUCCUGCGGCUGCCCGCAGGCCCUGAAAACCAGUGGCGGGCUCGCUAGUCACACCGAGCGCAGUAAUACAUCUCGCUUUGGGCGUGCGGCGGGUUCUUGCCGUUAAACACCCCCUUUUUACCAAGGUUGACCUCGGAUCAGGCAGGAAUACCCGCUGAACUUAAGCAUAUCAAUAAGCGGAGGA
rnacentral:misc_RNA from 1 species